AAAUGAAUAGACGGGGGCCCGCACAAGCGGAGGAACAUGUGGUUUAAUUCGAUGAUACGCGAGGAACCUUACCCGGGCUUAAAUUGCACAGGAAUAAUUUGGAAACAGAUUAGUCUUCGGACCUGUGUGAAGGUGCUGCAUGGUUGUCGUCAGCUCGUGCCGUGAGGUGUCGGCUUAAGUGCCAUAACGAGCGCAACCCUAAUGGUUAGUUGCUAACAGAUCAUGCUGAGCACUCUAGUCAGACUGCCGUCGUAAGAUGUGAGGAAGGAUGGGAUGACGUCAAAUCAGCACGGCCCUUACGUCCGGGGCUACACACGUGUUACAAUGGGGAGUACAGAGGGCAGCCACCUGGCAACAGGGCGCUAAUCCGUAAAAGCUCCUCUCAGUUCGGAUCGAAGUCUGCAACUCGACUUCGUGAAGCUGGAUUCGCUAGUAAUCGCGCAUCAGCCAUGGCGCGGUGAAUACGUUCCCGGGCCUUGUACACACCGCCCGU
rnacentral:rRNA from 1 species